rnacentral:lncRNA from 1 species
UCUUACGACCAAUCGACUUCUCCAGAUAUAUUCCUCUCCCCUACCAAAAUUGUGAAAUUCAUCCAAAUCGAUUAGAGAGAUGUCCAUGGCUGUUUACAGUCGACUUCACAAUAUCGAGGACCACCAAGGGUCGGUCUCACACGCCGCCGUGAAUGCGUGACUUGAAUCUCGGUCCCGCUAAAUGAAAUCGACGGUGUGAUUUUGAUUUUGUGGAUGACGAAACACCUUCAGAUUCAUUUUGCUGAAUUUUCCAAGUAUAGGCCAAGAGAUAUCUAAACCCAAGAAAGUAGACCAACAAUACUACAUGUGCAUAUCUGGGAAGUUGAUGAUCGAGGUCAGUAUAUGCAAUGGAUUUAGACAGAGGAGAAGGACAUGGUGGGGCAGUUCUUUCGAUUUUCAGCUUGCUAAUGACUCUUGAGAGGUAUAACUAUAAGAAAUGCAAUUAUGGAGCACCUAAGAUCAAUGUGUAUGCUAGGGAGGCAUAGGUUUGUGGAGGUAAAGAUGAUUAAAGGGUGCUUAUGACACGCAAAAAGUUAAACUCAUCUGUAUCAACGUCAGGUGUCCACGUCAGCCAGGAGGUACUGAAUGCGGCUACUAUGUGAUGGAGUUCAUGAAGAAGAUAACUUACAAAGGAGUUGAAAUACUUGACAUUGAUAAUUUAAGUUAGGCAUAUUUUAGUCUGUAUAUUAGAGAAAUAUGUAUUAUAUAUCCAAACAAAUGCUUAAAUUCAUAUAUUAGAAUUAAAUUCUGAUUUUUAAGAUUUAUUUUAUUUAAUUUUUUCUCAGGUUGGGAAAGGAGUAAAGGAAUACUCGAUUGCGGAUAUGGAUGACAUUCACGAAGAUUGGUCGACUUAUGCGGUUACAUCUAUUUUAAGUGACAAAUCGUAUUUUAGGUGUUGACAAUGUAUUGACAAACAAUUUUUUUUGUUAGCGUUAAUUUAUUGUAAGUAUACUUGACAAAUGAUUAUG